rnacentral:rRNA from 1 species
AGAGUUUGAUCCUGGCUCAGGAUGAACGCUAGCUACAGGCUUAACACAUGCAAGUCGAGGGGCAGCAUGAUUGAAGCUUGCUUCAAUCGAUGGCGACCGGCGCACGGGUGAGUAACACGUAUCCAACCUGCCGAUAACUCGGGGAUAGCCUUUCGAAAGAAAGAUUAAUACCCGGUAGCAUAGUUUUUCCGCAUGGUUUCACUAUUAAAGAAUUUCGGUUAUCGAUGGGGAUGCGUUCCAUUAGAUAGUUGGCGGGGUAACGGCCCACCAAGUCAACGAUGGAUAGGGGUUCUGAGAGGAAGGUCCCCCACAUUGGAACUGAGACACGGUCCAAACUCCUACGGGAGGCAGCAGUGAGGAAUAUUGGUCAAUGGACGAGAGUCUGAACCAGCCAAGUAGCGUGAAGGAUGACUGCCCUAUGGGUUGUAAACUUCUUUUAUACGGGAAUAAAGUGGAGUAUGCAUACUCCUUUGUAUGUACCGUAUGAAUAAGGAUCGGCUAACUCCGUGCCAGCAGCCGCGGUAAUACGGAGGAUCCGAGCGUUAUCCGGAUUUAUUGGGUUUAAAGGGAGCGUAGGCGGGUGCUUAAGUCAGUUGUGAAAGUUUGCGGCUCAACCGUAAAAUUGCAGUUGAUACUGGAUAUCUUGAGUGCAGUUGAGGCAGGCGGAAUUCGUGGUGUAGCGGUGAAAUGCUUAGAUAUCACGAAGAACUCCGAUUGCGAAGGCAGCCUGCUAAGCUGCAACUGACAUUGAGGCUCGAAAGUGUGGGUAUCAAACAGGAUUAGAUACCCUGGUAGUCCACACGGUAAACGAUGAAUACUCGCUGUUUGCGAUAUACAGCAAGCGGCCAAGCGAAAGCGUUAAGUAUUCCACCUGGGGAGUACGCCGGCAACGGUGAAACUCAAAGGAAUUGACGGGGGCCCGCACAAGCGGAGGAACAUGUGGUUUAAUUCGAUGAUACGCGAGGAACCUUACCCGGGCUUAAAUUGCAGAUGAAUUACGGUGAAAGCCGUAAGCCGCAAGGCAUCUGUGAAGGUGCUGCAUGGUUGUCGUCAGCUCGUGCCGUGAGGUGUCGGCUUAAGUGCCAUAACGAGCGCAACCCUUGUUGUCAGUUACUAACAGGUUCCGCUGAGGACUCUGACAAGACUGCCAUCGUAAGAUGUGAGGAAGGUGGGGAUGACGUCAAAUCAGCACGGCCCUUACGUCCGGGGCUACACACGUGUUACAAUGGGGGGUACAGAGGGCCGCUACCACGCGAGUGGAUGCCAAUCCCAAAAACCUCUCUCAGUUCGGACUGGAGUCUGCAACCCGACUCCACGAAGCUGGAUUCGCUAGUAAUCGCGCAUCAGCCACGGCGCGGUGAAUACGUUCCCGGGCCUUGCACACACCGCCCGUCA